rnacentral:rRNA from 1 species
GACGAACGCUGGCGGCGUGCUUAACACAUGCAAGUCGAACGGAAAGGCUCCAGCUUGCUGGAGUACUCGAGUGGCGAACGGGUGGGUAACACGUGGGUAAUCUGCCCUGCACUCUGGGAUAAGCCUGGGAAACUGGGUCUAAUACUGGAUAUGACCUUUCUCCUUAUGGGGUUUGGUGGAAAGUUUUUCGGUGUAGGAUGAGCCCGCGGCCUAUCAGCUUGUUGGUGGGGUGAUGGCCUACCAAGGCGACGACGGGUAGCCGGCCUGAGAGGGUGAUCGGCCACAUUGGGACUGAGAUACGGCCCAGACUCCUACGGGAGGCAGCAGUGGGGAAUAUUGCACAAUGGGCGGAAGCCUGAUGCAGCGACGCCGCGUGAGGGAUGACGGCCUUCGGGUUGUAAACCUCUAUCAGCAGGGACGAAGCGUAAGUGACGGUACCUGCAGAAGAAGCACCGGCUAACUAUGU